AUUGAACGCUGGCGGCAGGCCUAACACAUGCAAGUCGAGCGGAUGAGGGUAGCUUGCUACCUGAUUCAGCGGCGGACGGGUGAGUAAUGCCUAGGAAUCUGCCCGAUAGUGGGGGACAACGUUUCGAAAGGAACGCUAAUACCGCAUACGUCCUACGGGAGAAAGUGGGGGAUCUUCGGACCUCACGCUAUCGGAUGAGCCUAGGUCGGAUUAGCUAGUUGGUGAGGUAAUGGCUCACCAAGGCUACGAUCCGUAACUGGUCUGAGAGGGUGAUCAGUCACACUGGAACUGAGACACGGUCCAGACUCCUACGGGAGGCAGCAGUGGGGAAUAUUGGACAAUGGGCGAAAGCCUGAUCCAGCCAUGCCGCGUGUGUGAAGAAGGUCUUCGGAUUGUAAAGCACUUUAAGUUGGGAGGAAGGGCUGUAGGCUAAUAUCCUGCAGUUUUGACGUUACCAACAGAAUAAGCACCGGCUAACUUCGUGCCAGCCGCCGCAUAA
rnacentral:rRNA from 1 species